rfam:TPA: Bos taurus chromosome 21, whole genome shotgun sequence.
UCCCUUGUAGUCCAGUGGUUAGGACUCUGCACUCUCAAUGCUAAGAUCCUAGGUUCAGUCCCUGCUUGGGGAA